CCUACGGGCGGCAGCAGUGGGGAAUAUUGCGCAAUGGGCGAAAGCCUGACGCAGCGACGCCGCGUGAGGGAUGAAGGUCUUCGGAUCGUAAACCUCUGUCAGCAGGGAAGAACGGUCACUGUGCUAAUCAGCAGUGAAUUGACGGUACCUGCAAAGGAAGCACCGGCUAACUCCGUGCCAGCAGCCGCGGUAAUACGGAGGGUGCGAGCGUUAAUCGGAAUUACUGGGCGUAAAGCGCUCGUAGGCGGUAUGUCAAGUCAAGGGUGAAAUCCCCGCGCUCAACGUGGGAACUGCCUUUGAAACUGGCAAACUGGAGUGUGUGAGAGGAGAGUGGAAUUCCAGGUGUAGGAGUGAAAUGCGUAGAGAUCUGGAGGAACAUCAGUGGCGAAGGCGACUAUCUGGCACAUAACUGACGCUGAGGAGCGAAAGCGUGGGUAGCAAACAGGAUUAGAUACCCCUGUAGUC
rnacentral:rRNA from 1 species